rfam:Triticum aestivum genome assembly, contig: Triticum_aestivum_CS42_TGACv1_scaffold_513982_6BS
UUCGUACUCCCUCCGUCCGGAAAUACUUGUCCUGAAAAUAAAGAAAAUGGAUGUAUCUAUAACUAAAAUAAGUCUAGAUACAUCCAUUUCUAGGACAAGUAUUUCCGGACGGAGGGAGUAUGAC